rnacentral:rRNA from 1 species
GACGAACGCUGGCGGCGUGCUUAACACAUGCAAGUCGAACGGAAAGGCCCUGCUUUUGUGGGGUGCUCGAGUGGCGAACGGGUGAGUAACACGUGAGUAACCUGCCCUUGACUUUGGGAUAACUUCAGGAAACUGGGGCUAAUACCGGAUAGGAUCUCCUGCUGCAUGGUGGGGGUUGGAAAGUUUCGGCGGUUGGGGAUGGACUCGCGGCUUAUCAGCUUGUUGGUGGGGUAGUGGCGUACCAAGGCUUUGACGGGUAGCCGGCCUGAGAGGGUGACCGGCCACCUUGGGACUGAGAUACGGCCCAGACUCCUACGGGAGGCAGCAGUGGGGAAUAUUGCACAAUGGGCGGAAGCCUGAUGCAGCAACGCCGCGUGCGGGAUGACGGCCUUCGGGUUGUAAACCGCUUUCGCAUGUGACGAAGCGUGAGUGACGGUAAUGGGUAAAGAAGCACCGGCUAACUACGUG